AUUCGGUUAAAUUAUACUUGAACAUCAUUCGGUUGGUUUCUCAAGUUAAUUAUGGUGUAUGUAUUCGGUUGUUACUAUACUCUACAUAGCUCUUUCGGCAGCUACACUAAUUUACGUAUUAAACUCGAAUUCAGCCAGUACUACAAGGGAAUUUCGCCCCUACUCGUUACAAAUGUUUCUGCAGUAAAUAUAUGCUUAAUAAGAAUAUUGUAAAAUAA